UACUGAAUGAAGAAUCUGUUGAUGGAGAAAAUGGCGCAGUGAAUGACGAGUGUAAUGAGGCAUCUGGCAUCCAAACUAAAAAACAGAAAUGCUCCAAAAAGUGCAAGAAGGAAGAACAGGAACUUACAAAAUGUAAACAGAAGACUAAAAAGAGCAAAAAAUCACAGCAAGGUAGUGGAUUUUUUCUUUUUUUUUCUUUUGGAGGAGGAUUUUACAAUGCAUUACAAUUGAUUUUUCAAAGUGCUCACUGAAAAUGUAUGUUUGUUUUGUAAAAUUCAUCUGAUUUUUAUGUUCUACACAGAGUGUACUGGAUCUGAGCUGGGUGCUGACUGUAGUGAAGUCUCCUUAACAGACCCCGGUGCUGAAGAUGAUCAAGGGUAUGUAAAAUUCUUACCAAAGUCAGAGAUUUUCUUUCAGCAGUGCUCUAAUUGCAAAUCUUUAUUACAUAGCUCCUCCAAACAUUCAAAAAGGCCCAAUUUGGCAAAAAGAAAAGCCAAAAAAUGUUCAGAGCCAAAAGCAACAGUAGAGAUUGAGGAUACAGCAGAAGAAUGUCAAGAUAAGAGCUGCAGCGAAGCAGAGAAUGAGUUGAGGAUCAUCCGUCUUGCAGAGAAACAGCUCCAGAAUCAGCCGGUAGUUGUUCUGGAAAGAACUCCUUCAAGGUAAAUUGAUUCAUUCUUUCCGCACUCACAGUACUACACAGUGAUCUUUUGAAAAAAAAUUCAUUCUUUCAGCUGUUAUAAAUUAAAUCACAUCACAGGCUAAAAGGUUCACACAGCUCAUCUGAAAGCCAAGACCAACCACAGUCCUCCCAGAGCCCGCAGCAUUCUCCUGGACGGCUGAUGAGAGCGGAAAAGGUCAAACGCAAUCUGACUGCCUCCGGUGAUGGUAGUGAAGUCUCGAAAGCAGGCCCCGGUGUUAAAGAGGAUCAAGGGGCGAAGCUCAUUCCAGAGAGCUCAACUAAGGAGAAGUUUUCACAAAGCUCCUCCAAACAUUCUCCUGGGCGGCAGACGAGAGCAGACAAGGUCAAGCACAAUCUGACUGCUUCAGAAGGGGAUCAGAUAGACCAGUGUCAUACUGGCUCACAUCCAUCACCAGACGACAUGAGCAGCACUACCAUGCUGAAUCAACUGGGCAUCCAGGACUCUGAAGAGAUGGAGGAUGAUCAACGCAUGGAGGAGGAUUUAAAUUUACAUCGUUUAGAGUUUUUAACUCCAUCUGAAGUAAAUGGUCAGACAUUACUGAGAAGAGCAGUUGUGUUGGUGUCUAAUGACGAAGUGAAGCACUACCUCAGGAGUCAAGCACAAACCACUGCAGAGGAAUCAACAACCUCUGAGAGUCCGCAGGACACAGCACCUGCCAGAGGCCAUCAUGUCAGUACUGGAGGAGUUUGUUCUUUGUGUGAUCUGUUAAUGCUUGCGCAUUGCUCAUGUAGUAAUCAUUACAGUGACUGUUGAUGUGAUUUGCAGGUGGGAGAGCAUAGGGAUGGUCUUGAUGAGCACGGCUCCUCUAGUGGUGUUCUGGAAGAGAGGGUCUCUCAAGAUCCAGAUGUGAAGGAAACCGACACUGCCUCCGUUUCUGCCCAACUAAGCAUUGCUGAAAAAAGGAGAAGGUUUUCCAAGCCCAAACCCAGUCUGAGCCGGGCAGCACAGUCCAUCCGCAGACCUCUGAAUGAAAGUGAGCUUGAGAUUCAUAUAAACCAUGAGCUAAGAAGACUAUCCAGUGGCCUGUGUAAAGUGUAUAAUGCUGUGUGUUGUUUUCUGUUCUAAUCAAAGGCAUGUGUUCUUUCUAAAUCCAGAUACCCAGUCUUUCAAACAUGAAUCAGUGCUGCUGCAAUGUAGCAUUCCUGUGGAAGUCCAAGUGAAGAUUGCUCCAAAUGAAUGCCUUGUUGAAGAGCACAGGGACCGUCCUGAAGAAGAGCUUACAUGUUGUGUUACUCCAGAAGUGAGCGGCCCUCAGGAUGUUAAGGUGAGGGAUCUUGUCAAAGGAGACUUGAGUGUGUGUUCUGAUGAUGUGAUGGAAAACCAAACAUACAUUUGACUUGCAGUGAGUUUUCUCUUCUUUAAUGACUUUUUGUACGUCCAGGAUGAUGAAGCAGAAAGCACAGUAGAUGAUCUUCCUUCCUUGACAUCAGUUGGUAAGAUUAAAAGCAUUUUUUAAAAUAUAUAUUUGGUUGUCUUUCUUUCCGUCCAUCUUUCCUGUCUCUCUGUCUUUGUUUUUUCCUUUCAGCUCAUUUUAAUUUUACGUAUUUGUCUCUGUAACGCUUCCAAUAGUGAGUAAGACAGAGGACCAGGAGAUCGAACCCUUCCUUGAGAGGCCUCUGGUUCCUGAAACCACACCGUCAGACAAAGGUACAACAGAAGACUUUUUUCAGAAAUCAAAAACCCAUAAUUAAAGUGCUUAACUUGGUUUGCAGCAGAUCCAAAAAAAAAAGUUAAAAGACACUGACCUUUACAGAUGUGCCUGAAAGAAGAAGAGAAUUUGAAAGGUCUCCAUCUCGGACGUCUGAGAAUGAAGAUCGAAUUACUGAUCAGGAGGAACAGGAUUCAGAGGCUGUUGAGUCUGAAGUCACAGACACUAUGAUCGAGGAACCUCAGACAGAGCAGAAGAGGAUCACUCCAGUCAGGUGUGCAGUGGCAGAUGAAUCAAUAGAUUGCUCAAAUUAAAAGCGUUUGUCUUGACUGUUUUUAACAAUGCCUUUGCUCUGUGGUGUCAUCUGUACAGCUGUUCUGCUGAUGGUUCCUCAGUUUAUGCUCAGGGCAGUAUUGCCCCAGAGAGACACGGUCAGUUUGAUGAGCAAACACCCACCAAGCUGGAAGGGGCAUCUCUAGUCAUGAUAAACCUUCAACAGACCUCAGAGCCUAAUGAAGGUGGGGUUCAUGUUAUUCAGACUGAGAAUAUUGCUUUAAAUGUCACAAGUGUUGCUGCCAAUGAUUGAGACAUGACAUCUUCAUGGGGGAAGUCGUGGCCUAACGGUUAGAGUGUUGGACUUGCAAUCCAAGGGUUGUGAGUUCGAGUCUCGGGCCGGCAGGAAUUGUAGGUGGGGGGAGUGAAUGUACAGCGCUCUCUCCACCUUCAAUACCAUGACUGAGGUGCCCUUGAGCAAGGCACUGAACCCCCAACUUCUCCCCAGGUGCCGCAGCAUAACGGGUGCCCACUGCUCUGGGUGUGUGUUCACGGUGUGUGUGUGUUCACUGCUGUGUGUGUGCCCUUUGGAUGGGUUAAAAGCAGAGCACGAAUUCCGAGUAUGGGUCACCAUACUUGGCUGUAUGUCACAUCACUUUCACUUCAUUUAGAUGCUGCUGAGAAGCCUGAACAUAAGAGUCCUGUUAAAGUCAAGCAUAGUGAUUUGGAUCAUGACAAAGAGAAGAUCCCCAGAGAAGAUAAGCUUCUGUCAUCUGAAGAAACUUUACAGGAACAUAAACAGGAUGAGGAUCUCCUGUCCCCUUUUUCUGAUCCUCCAAACGAACCUGCAAGCAACAUGUCUGAUAUGGACAUGUAUGUAAAAUGUAGCUUUUUUUAGCAGCUUUAAUUAAUAAUAGUUUCUAAUAAUUUAUAUAGUCUUAUUAAAUUAAGGUUAUUAUGUUGUUUAAAUGUUGCUUUAGGAUGCAGUUUAGUGAGUCUGCAGCUGAAGAUGUUCAAAUACCAGACGAGCAGGAUUCAGAAAAUCAGGACGGCACAGAGGAGCCAUCAGAAGCUUCUGAGGUAGAGUCCUGAAAAACAAUACCUUGUGUAUUCUGUGUUUGCUGAAUGGAAUAAACAACUUUUGAAUUAAUGAUUUUCUUUCUGG
ensembl:lncRNA